rnacentral:rRNA from 1 species
AGUUUGAUCCUGGCUCAGAUUGAACGCUGGCGGCAGGCCUAACACAUGCAAGUCGAACGGUAGCACAGAGAGCUUGCUCUCGGGUGACGAGUGGCGGACGGGUGAGUAAUGUCUGGGAAACUGCCUGAUGGAGGGGGAUAACUACUGGAAACGGUAGCUAAUACCGCAUAACGUCGCAAGACCAAAGAGGGGGACCUUCGGGCCUCUUGCCAUCAGAUGUGCCCAGAUGGGAUUAGCUAGUAGGUGGGGUAAUGGCUCACCUAGGCGACGAUCCCUAGCUGGUCUGAGAGGAUGACCAGCCACACUGGAACUGAGACACGGUCCAGACUCCUACGGGAGGCAGCAGUGGGGAAUAUUGCACAAUGGGCGCAAGCCUGAUGCAGCCAUGCCGCGUGUAUGAAGAAGGCCUUCGGGUUGUAAAGUACUUUCAGCGGGGAGGAAGGUGUUGUGGUUAAUAACCACAGCAAUUGACGUUACCCGCAGAAGAAGCACCGGCUAACUCCGUGCCAGCAGCCGCGGUAA